rnacentral:rRNA from 1 species
UGGGGAAUUUUUGACAAUGGGGGCAACCCUGAUCCAGCAAUGCCGCGUGUGUGAAGAAGGCCUUCGGGUUGUAAAGCACUUUUGUCCGGGAAGAAAUCGCACCUGAUAAUACCGGGUGUGGAUGACGGUACCGGAAGAAUAAGGACCGGCUAACUACGUGCCAGCAGCCGCGGUAAUACGUAGGGUCCAAGCGUUAAUCGGAGUUACUGGGCGUAAAGCGUGCGCAGGCGGUUGUGCAAGACCGAUGUGAAAUCCCCGGGCUUAACCUGGGAAUUGCAUUGGUGACUGCACGGCUAGAGUGUGUCAGAGGGGGGUAGAAUUCCACGUGUAGCAGUGAAAUGCGUAGAGAUGUGGAGGAAUACCGAUGGCGAAGGCAGCCCCCUGGGAUAACACUGACGCUCAUGCACGAAGGCGUGGGGAGCAAACAGG